rnacentral:rRNA from 1 species
AGUGAACGCUGGCGGUAGGCCUAACACAUGCAAGUCGAACGGCAGCACAGUAAGAGCUUGCUCUUACGGGUGGCGAGUGGCGGACGGGUGAGGAAUACAUCGGAAUCUACUUUUUCGUGGGGGAUAACGUAGGGAAACUUACGCUAAUACCGCAUACGACCUACGGGUGAAAGCAGGGGAUCUUCGGACCUUGCGCGAUUGAAUUGGCCGGUGUCGCAUUAGCUAGGUGGGAGGGUAAAGGCCCACCAAGGCAACGAUCCGUAGCUGGUCUGAGAGGAUGAUCGGCCACACUGGAACUGAGACACGGUCCAGACUCCUACGGGAGGCAGCAGUGGGGAAUCUUGGACAAUGGGCGAAAGCCUGACCCAGCAAUACCGCGUGAGUGAAGAAGGCCUUCGGGUCGUAAAGCCCUUUUGUUGGGAAAGAAAAGAAGCAGGUUAAUCCCCCGCUGUUCUGACGGUACCCAAAGAAUAAGCACCGGCUAACUUCGUG